rnacentral:tmRNA from 1 species
GGGGGUGACAGGUUUCGACGGACAGAUGUUUUGACCGGUGAAGCGUGUCGAGAAUCAAGGUGAUCUCGUUAAGAAUCCUUGAAAAAUAUAACUGCCAAUAAAACGCAGUCUGCAGACGCUUACGCCCUCGCGGCAUAAGUACAUAUCUGCCGUCAGCCCGAUGUGUCCCCGAAUCGGAUGCUGACGUCGCUAGGGGACUCACCAAAUGUGCCGGUCACGGGUGCAGGAGGAAAGCCAAACAGUGACUGGACCGCCCGGAGUAGUGCCGCACGAAGCACCGGGGUCAAGACAGCGAUAGCGCGGCUACACACGUAGAAGAACGGAAAGGGCCUGCCUGGACCCGGGUUCGAUUCCCGCCCCCUCCACAA